rfam:Dipodomys ordii contig_7351, whole genome shotgun sequence.
GGUGGCUCAGUGGUAGAGUGUUUGCCUUGCAUGCAUGAAGCCCUGGGUUCGAUUCCUCAGUACCA